CCUACGGGAGGCAGCCGUGAGGAAUAUUGGUCAAUGGACGCAAGUCAGAACCAGCCAUGCCGCGUGCAGGAAGACGGCUCUAUGAGUUGUAAACUGCUUUUGUACGAGGGUAAACGCAGAUACGCGUAUCUGUCUGAAAGUAUCGUACGAAUAAGGAUCGGCUAACUCCGUGCCAGCAGCCGCGGUAAUACGGAGGAUUCAAGCGUUAUCCGGAUUUAUUGGGUUUAAAGGGUGCGUAGGCGGUCGGAUAAGUUAGAGGUGAAAUCCCGAGGCUCAACUUCGGAAUUGCCUCUGAUACUGUUCGGCUAGCGAGUAGUUGCGGUAGGCGGAAUGUAUGGUGUAGCGGGGAAAUGCUUAGAGAUCAUACAGAACACCGAUUGCGAAGGCAGCUUACCAAGCUACUUCUGACGUUGAGGCACGAAAGCGUGGGGAGCAAACAGGAUUAGAUACCCUUGUAGUC
rnacentral:rRNA from 1 species